rnacentral:rRNA from 1 species
UACGUAGGUGGCAAGCGUUGUCCGGAGUUACUGGGCGUAAAGCGCACGCAGGCGGUCUGUUAAGUUUGGAGUGACAGUUGGUGGCUCAACCACCAAAGUGCUUUGAAAACUGAUAGACUUGAGGGCUUCAGAGGGACACGGAAUUCCGGGUGGAGUGGUGAAAUGCGUAGAUAUCGUGAGGAACACCAGAGGCGAAGGCGGCUACCUGGACAAUUGCUGACGCUCAGGCACGAAAGCGUGGGGAGCCAAAAGGG